AGAUUGAACGCUGGCGGCACGCCUAACACAUGCAAGUCGAGCGGAAAGGCCCUUCGAGGUACUCGAGCGGCGAACGGGUGAGUAACACGUGAGUAAUCUGCCCCUAGCUCUGGGAUAGCUCCGGGAAACCGGGAUUAAUACCAGAUACGACCACUUUAGACAUCUGUUGUGGUGGAAAGAAUUUUGGCUAGGGAUGAGCUCGCGGCCUAUCAGCUUGUUGGUGAGGUAACGGCUCACCAAGGCGACGACGGGUAGCCGGCCUGAGAGGGCGACCGGCCACACUGGGACUGAGACACGGCCCAGACUCCUACGGGAGGCAGCAGUGGGGGAAUAUUGCGCAAUGGGCGAAAGCCUGACGCAGCGACGCCGCGUGGGGGAUGAAGGCCUUCGGGUUGUAAACCCCUUUCAGCAGGGACGAAGCGAAGUGACGGUACUGCAGAAGAGCGCCGGCUAACUACGCGCCAGCAGCCGCGGUA
rnacentral:rRNA from 1 species